GUGUUCAGUUUUUCUGAGGUUUUGUGAUGUUAAUGUGUGAGAGUUUUGAAACUCAUUAUUUUUUUUUAUGAUCAAAAGUCUAUUUCUGACUAUAAGGUUGUUAAUUUGGAUUUGUUACUAAAACUCAGAACUCCAUCCACCUUUGACCCUUUGUCUGUUACCUAGAUACACAUAUCUUUCUUAUGGAAAUAAAUGGAUGAAAAAAUCUUGGAAAAGUGUGAACCCACACUGAGCGAGUCACUGAAGAGAAAAUUUCAAAAGGAAAGACCAACCAGAGAAAGUUCACUUUUCGCUAAUGGCUCGGAUUAAACACAAACUCUGAACUAAAAUGGACCAAAGAAGACUCGACAUGUGGUCAGAGCAGGCCAUGAGAGGGAGCUAGUUAGAAAGCUGGACUUGGAUGAUUUGGUGGACGAGUGAGGAGAAAAGUCACGUGAGCUCACGGUUUGGAUUGUGUACUUUUUGGAAGAUGGAGAAUGAGACCUCUGACCACACAAGCGCUGAGACGAGUCACCUAGACUCGACCCACAAACACAUCCUGAAAUUCAGCCUGGUGAAGUCGAGCCCCGAGGAAUUGAGAGCGGCACGGAGGAUUAGUAAAGACAAGGACUGAGACACAGCCGACACACACACACACACACACACACACACACACACACACACACACACACACACACACACGUUCAGUAUAUCUGAGAGACGAGCUGCCCGUCAUGGAGCCGAGGCCAUCAACUCGGUUUUAGAAAACUCACUGUGGAAAAUAAAAAUGGCUGAUACUGA